rnacentral:rRNA from 1 species
AGGGUUUGAUCAUGGCUCAGAACGUACGCUGGCGGCACGCCUAACACAUGCAAGUCGAACGAAGUAGCAAUACUUAGUGGCAGACGGGUGAGUAACAUGUGGGUAUCUGCCCUUUGGCCUGGAAUAACACGAGGAAACUUGUGCUAAUACCGGAUAAGUCUUUACGGAGAAAGCUUUAUGCACCAUUGGAUGAGCCCGCACUUGAUUAGUUUGUUGGUAGGGUAAUGGCCUACCAAGACUGUGAUCAAUAGCUGAUUUGAGAGGAUGAUCAGCCACAUUGGGACUGAGACACGGCCCAAACUCCUACGGGAGGCAGCAGUGGGGAAUAUUGGACAAUGGGGGGAACCCUGAUCCAGCCAUGCCGCGUGUGUGAAGAAGGCCUUAUGGUUGUAAAGCACUUUAAGCGAGGAGGAGGCUACUGAGAUUAAUACUCUUGGAUAGUGGACGUUACUCGCAGAAUAAGCACCGGCUAACUCUGUGCCAGCAGCCGCGGUAAUACAGAGGGUGCGAGCGUUAAUCGGAUUUACUGGGCGUAAAGCGUGCGUAGGCGGCUUUUUAAGUCGGAUGUGAAAUCCCCGAGCUUAACUUGGGAAUUGCAUUCGAUACUGGGAAGCUAGAGUAUGGGAGAGGAUGGUAGAAUUCCAGGUGUAGCGGUGAAAUGCGUAGAGAUCUGGAGGAAUACCGAUGGCGAAGGCAGCCAUCUGGCCUAAUACUGACGCUGAGGUACGAAAGCAUGGGGAGCAAACAGGAUUAGAUACCCUGGUAGUCCAUGCCGUAAACGAUGUCUACUAGCCGUUGGGGCCUUUGAGGCUUUAGUGGCGCAGCUAACGCGAUAAGUAGACCGCCUGGGGAGUACGGUCGCAAGACUAAAACUCAAAUGAAUUGACGGGGGCCCGCACAAGCGGUGGAGCAUGUGGUUUAAUUCGAUGCAACGCGAAGAACCUUACCUGGCCUUGACAUACUAGAAACUUUCCAGAGAUGGAUUGGUGCCUUCGGGAAUCUAGAUACAGGUGCUGCAUGGCUGUCGUCAGCUCGUGUCGUGAGAUGUUGGGUUAAGUCCCGCAACGAGCGCAACCCUUUUCCUUACUUGCCAGCAUUUCGGAUGGGAACUUUAAGGAUACUGCCAGUGACAAACUGGAGGAAGGCGGGGACGACGUCAAGUCAUCAUGGCCCUUACGGCCAGGGCUACACACGUGCUACAAUGGUCGGUACAAAGGGUUGCUACACAGCGAUGUGAUGCUAAUCUCAAAAAGCCGAUCGUAGUCCGGAUUGGAGUCUGCAACUCGACUCCAUGAAGUCGGAAUCGCUAGUAAUCGCGGAUCAGAAUGCCGCGGUGAAUACGUUCCCGGGCCUUGUACACACCGCCCGUCACACCAUGGGAGUUUGUUGCACCAGAAGUAGGUAGUCUAACCGCAAGGAGGACGCUUACCACGGUGUGGCCGAUGACUGGGGUGAAGUCAUAACAAGGUAACCGUA